rnacentral:rRNA from 1 species
UACGUAGGGUGCGAGCGUUGUCCGGAAUUAUUGGGCGUAAAGAGCUCGUAGGCGGUCCGUCGCGUCGAUUGUGAAAACCCGGGGCUCAACUCCGGGCCUGCAGUCGAUACGGGCAGACUGGAGUUCGGCAGGGGAGACUGGAAUUCCUGGUGUAGCGGUGAAAUGCGCAGAUAUCAGGAGGAACACCGGUGGCGAAGGCGGGUCUCUGGGCCGAUACUGACGCUGAGGAGCGAAAGCGUGGGGAGCGAACAGG